rnacentral:rRNA from 1 species
GACGUAGGGCGCGAGCGUUGUCCGGAUUUAUUGGGCGUAAAGAGCUCGUAGGCGGCUUGUCGCGUCGUCCGUGAAAACUCACAACUCAAUUGUGGGCGUGCGGGCGAUACGGGCAGACUGGAGUACUGCAGGGGAGACUGGAAUUCCUGGUGUAGCGGUGGAAUGCGCAGAUAUCAGUAGGAACACCGGUGGCGAAGGCGGGUCUCUGGGCAGUAACUGACGCUGAGGAGCGAAAGCGUGGGGAGCGAACAGG